rnacentral:rRNA from 1 species
AAAUUGAAGAGUUUGAUCAUGGCUCAGAUUGAACGCUGGCGGCAGGCCUAACACAUGCAAGUCGAACGGUAACAGGAAAUAGCUUGCUGUUUCGCUGACGAGUGGCGGACGGGUGAGUAAUGUCUGGGAAACUGCCUGAUGGAGGGGGAUAACUACUGGAAACGGUAGCUAAUACCGCAUAACGUCGCAAGACCAAAGAGGGGGACC